rnacentral:rRNA from 1 species
GCGGCGUGCUUCAUACAUGCAAGUCGAACGAGAAGCAGGAGCUUGCUCCUGUGGAAAGUGGCGGACGGGUGAGUAACACGUAGGAAAUCUGCCUUUGGGUGGGGGACAACAGUUGGAAACGACUGCUAAUACCCCAUAUGAGCUUGGUUGCAAUACCAAUCUUGAAAACUCCGGUGCCUAAAGAUGAGCCUGCGUCUGAUUAGCUUGUUGGCGGGGUAAUGGCCCACCAAGGCGACGAUCAGUAGCUGGUUUGAGAGGAUGAUCAGCCACAAUGGGACUGAGACACGGCCCAUACUCCUACGGGAGGCAGCAGUAGGGAAUUUUGCGCAAUGGGGGAAACCCUGACGCAGCAACGCCGCGUGAAUGACGAAGCCCUUCGGGGUGUAAAGUCCUGUCAGUAGGGAAGAAUUUUGACUGUACCUACAAAGGAAGCACCGGCUAACUCCGUGCCAGCAGCCGCGGUAA